rnacentral:rRNA from 1 species
CGGUUGACUGAGCGGCGGACGGGUGAGUAACGCGUGGGUAACCCGCCUCGUACAGGGGGAUAACAGUUGGAAACGGCUGCUAAUACCGCAUAAGCGCACAGUACCGCAUGGUACGGUGUGAAAAACUCCGGUGGUAUGAGAUGGACCCGCGUCUGAUUAGGUAGUUGGUGGGGUAACGGCCUACCAAGCCGACGAUCAGUAGCCGACCUGAGAGGGUGACCGGCCACAUUGGGACUGAGACACGGCCCAA